AUUGAACGCUGGCGGCAUGCUUUACACAUGCAAGUCGGACGGCAGCACAGAGAAGCUUGCUUCUUGGGUGGCGAGUGGCGAACGGGUGAGUAACAUAUCGGAACGUACCGAGUAAUGGGGGAUAACUAAUCGAAAGAUUAGCUAAUACCGCAUAUUCUCUGAGGAGGAAAGCAGGGGACCUUUUGGCCUUGCGUUAUUCGAGCGGCCGAUAUCUGAUUAGCUAGUUGGUGGGGUAAAGGCCUACCAAGGCGACGAUCAGUAGCGGGUCUGAGAGGAUGAUCCGCCACACUGGGACUGAGACACGGCCCAGACUCCUACGGGAGGCAGCAGUGGGGAAUUUUGGACAAUGGGCGCAAGCCUGAUCCAGCCAUGCCGCGUGUCUGAAGAAGGCCUUCGGGUUGUAAAGGACUUUUGUCAGGGAAGAAAAGGCUGUUGCUAAUAUCGACAGCUGAUGACGGUACCUGAAGAAUAAGCACCGGCUAACUACGUGCCAGCAGCCGCGGUAAUACGUAGGGUGCGAGCGUUAAUCCGAAUUACUGGGCGUAAAGCGAGCGCAGACGGUUAC
rnacentral:rRNA from 1 species